CCUACGGGGGCAGCAGUGGGGAAUAUUGGACAAUGGGCGAAAGCCUGAUCCAGCCAUGCCGCGUGUGUGAAGAAGGCCUUCGGGUUGUAAAGCACUUUCAGUGGGGAAGAAAGCCUUGGGGCUAAUACCCUCGAGGAAGGACAUCACCCACAGAAGAAGCACCGGCUAACUCCGUGCCAGCAGCCGCGGUAAUACGGAGGGUGCGAGCGUUAAUCGGAAUUACUGGGUGUAAAGCGCGCGUAGGCGGUCUGAUAAGCCGGUUGUGAAAGCCCCGGGCUCAACCUGGGAACGGCAUCCGGAACUGUCAGGCUAGAGUGCAGGAGAGGAAGGUAGAAUUCCCGGUGUAGCGGUGAAAUGCGUAGAGAUCGGGAGGAAUACCAGUGGCGAAGGCGGCCUUCUGGACUGACACUGACGCUGAGGUGCGAAAGCGUGGGUAGCAAACAGGAUUAGAUACCCCUGUAGUC
rnacentral:rRNA from 1 species